GCAAGUCGAGCGGUAACAUUUCUAGCUUGCUAGAAGAUGACGAGCGGCGGACGGGUGAGUAACGCGUAUAGAACCUACCUUUUACAGGAGAAUAGCCCAGAGAAAUUUGGAUUAAUGCUCCAUAGUAUUAUUGAAUGGCAUCAUUUAAUAAUUAAACAUUUAUGGGUAAAAGAUGGCUAUGCGUUCUAUUAGCUAGAUGGUAAGGUAACGGCUUACCAUGGCAACGAUAGAUAGGGGUCCUGAGAGGGAGAUC
rnacentral:rRNA from 1 species